rnacentral:rRNA from 1 species
GAUGAACGCUAGCUACAGGCUUAACACAUGCAAGUCGAGGGGUAGCAGGGUAGCAAUACCGCUGACGACCGGCGCACGGGUGAGUAACACGUAUCCAACCUUCCCAUAACUCGGGGAUAGCCUUUCGAAAGAAAGAUUAAUACCCGAUAGUACUUAACAAAGGCAUCUUUGAUAAGUUAAAGAUUUAUUGGUUAUGGAUGGGGAUGCGUUCCAUUAGAUAGUUGGUGAGGUAACGGCUCACCAAGUCUUCGAUGGAUAGGGGUUCUGAGAGGAAGGACCCCCACAUUGGUACUGAGACACGGACCAGACUCCUACGGGAGGCAGCAGUGAGGAAUAUUGGUCAAUGGGCGAGAGCCUAAACCAGCCAAGUAGCGUGAAGGAUGAAGGUCCUAUGGAUUGUAAACUUCUUUUAUAGUAGAAUAAAGUGAUCCACGUGUGGAUUUUUGUAUGUAUACUAUGAAUAAGGAUCGGCUAACUCCGUGCCAGCCGCCGCAGUAA